rnacentral:rRNA from 1 species
GAGUUUGAUCGUGGCUCAGAUUGAACGCUGGCGGCAUGCCUUACACAUGCAAGUCGAACGGCAGCACGGGAGCUUGCUCCUGGUGGCGAGUGGCGAACGGGUGAGUAAUGCAUCGGAACGUAUCCUGGAGUGGGGGAUAACGUAGCGAAAGCUACGCUAAUACCGCAUAUUCUGUGAGCAGGAAAGCGGGGGACCUUCGGGCCUCGCGCUCUUGGAGCGGCCGAUGUCGGAUUAGCUAGUUGGUGAGGUAAAGGCGUCACCAAGGCGACGAUCCGUAGCAGGUCUGAGAGGAUGAUCUGCCACACUGGAACUGAGACACGGUCCAGACUCCUACGGGAGGCAGCAGUGGGGAAUUUUGGACAAUGGGGGCAACCCUGAUCCAGCCAUGCCGCGUGAGUGAAGAAGGCCU